CUCAAAACGCCGCCGUUUAGGGGGAUAGGGUCGGCAAACUUUGAAGUAGCCUUCGUCUACACUCGCACACACACAGAGGGAUGAUGAGAGGAGACGCCACAGAGGCGUGUGACCACCGUGAUCUCUCUGGUCACACGGGUCCAGAGGAGACA